GACGAACGCUGGCGGCGUGCUUAACACAUGCAAGUCGAACGAAGUGGCGAACGGGUGAGUAACGCGUAAUCAACCUGCCCUUCAGAGGGGGAUAACAGUUGGAAACGACUGCUAAUACCGCAUACUGAAGGCGGGGAUGGCGGCUGAUUAGCUAGUUGGAGGGGUAACGGCCCACCAAGGCGAUGAGCGGUAGCCGGUCUGGGAGGAAGAACGGCAACAUCGGGACUGAGAAACGGCCCAGACUCCCACGGGGGGGAGCAGGGGGGGAUCUUCGGCAAUGGACGAAAGUCUGACGGAGCAAAGCCGGGUGAGUGAUGACGGCCUUCGGGUUGUAAAGCUCUGUUAAUCGGGACGCGGUACCGGAAUAGAAAGCAACGGCUAACUACGUGCCAGCAGCCGCGGUAAUAC
rnacentral:rRNA from 1 species